rnacentral:rRNA from 1 species
AUUGAACGCUGGCGGCGUGCCUAACACAUGCAAGUCGAGCGGUAACAGGUGUAGCAAUACAUGCUGACGAGCGGCGAACGGGUGAGUAAUGCUUCGGAAUCUGCCCAUGUAGUGGGGAAUAACCAGCCGAAAGGUUGGCUAAUACCGCAUACGACCUACGGGUGAAAGCAGGGGAUCGCAAGACCUUGCGCUAUUGGAUGAGCCGAAGUCGGAUUAGCUUGUUGGUAGGGUAACGGCCUACCAAGGCGACGAUCCGUAGCUGGUCUGAGAGGACGACCAGCCACACUGGGACUGAGACACGGCCCAGACUCCUACGGGAGGCAGCAGUGGGGAAUAUUGGACAAUGGGGGCAACCCUGAUCCAGCGACGCCGCGUGUGUGAAGAAGGCCUGCGGGUUGUAAAGCACUUUUAGU